rnacentral:lncRNA from 1 species
UUUUUUUCAAAAAUAUUUGAUUUUCAAACAUUAAUAUUUUUAUAGUAGCUAGAUGAUAUUCAGUAUUUAAAGGACUAUGGGUAAUUUCAUUGUUUGUACACCAAAAUGAAAAUAACGUUACGCCAUUGGUUGAAUUUCCAUUGUUUAAAACGUUUUAAACUAAUCACAACGUUUUUGAAAAUAUUUCCCGGAAUGCAUAAGAUUUUGAAUUGCGAAUUGCGAAUUUAGCUAGUGGUCAUUAGGGACUUUUUGUACUAAGUUAGUUUAUAAAGUCUCUAUGGUUAUCUAGUUAAGAAACAGUGUUUUCAUCUAAAAAAUAAACCAACAAAUUAUAAAAAAUAUGUUUUUUUUUAUUGUUAGAUUUAUUUGCGAUUGCUUUUAAAAACAACAAAAGGCUUUAAGCAUGCGAGUUUAUUUUUAUAAGCCAGGCAUAUCACCCUUCAGUUAAAUACUGGAGUAAAAGACUGUUCCUAAUAAUAUUGAAUUAACGCAAUACUAAACAAAAGCACUUAACAAUGCUUAAGUACUCA